rnacentral:rRNA from 1 species
CAUGCAAGUCGAGCGAUGAAGUUUCUUCGGAAAUGGAUUAGCGGCGAACGGGUGAGGAACACGUGAAGAAUCUGCCCUCCACUUUGGGAUAACACCGGGAAACCGGUGCUAAUACCGAAUAUUGAAACAUAAGUGGCAUCACUGAGUUUUGAAAGAAUUUCGGUGGAGGAUGACUUCGCGGCCUAUCAGCUAGUUGGUGAGGUAAUGGCUCACCAAGGCAACGACGGGUAGCCGGCCUGAGAGGGCGACCGGCCACACUGGGACUGAGACACGGCCCAGACUCCUACGGGAGGCAGCAGUGGGGAAUAUUGGGCAAUGGAGGAAACUCUGACCCAGCGACGCCGCGUGCGGGAUGAAGGCCUUCGGGUUGUAAACCGCUUUCAGUAGGGAAGAAGCGAAAGUGACGGUACCUACAAAAGAAGCACCGGCUAACUAUGUGCCAGCAGCCGCGGUAAUACAUAGGGUGCAAGCGUUGUCCGGAAUUAUUGGGCGUAAAGAGCUCGUAGGUCGUUUGUUACGUCGGAUGUGAAAACCUGAGGCUCAACCUCAGGCCUGCAUUCGAUACGGGCAAACUAGAGUUUGGUAGGGGAGACUGGAAUUCCUGGUGUAGCGGUGGAAUGCGCAGAUAUCAGGAGGAACACCAAUGGCGAAGGCAGGUCUCUGGGCCAAUACUGACACUGAGGAGCGAAAGUCUGGGGAGCGAACAGGAUUAGAUACCCUGGUAGUCCAGACCGUAAACGGUGGGCACUAGUUGUGGGAACCUUCCACGGUUUCUGCGACGCAGCUAACGCAUUAAGUGCCCCGCCUGGGGAGUACGAUCGCAAGAUUAAAACUCAA